GACGAACGCUGGCGGCGUGCUUAACACAUGCAAGUCGAACGGAAAGGCCCUGCUUUUGUGGGGUGCUCGAGUGGCGAACGGGUGAGUAACACGUGAGUAACCUGCCCUUGACUUUGGGAUAACUUCAGGAAACUGGGGCUAAUACCGGAUAGGUGCUCCUGCUGCAUGGUGGGGGUUGGAAAGUUUCGGCGGUUGGGGAUGGACUCGCGGCUUAUCAGCUUGUUGGUGGGGUAGAGGCUUACCAAGGCUUUGACGGGUAGCCGGCCUGAGAGGGUGACCGGCCACAUUGGGACUGAGGGACGGCCCAGACUCCUACGGGAGGCAGCAGUGGGGAAUAUUGCACGAUGGGCAGAAGCCUGAUGCAGCAACGCCGCGUGCGGGAUGACGGCCUUCGGGUUGUAAACCGCUUUCGCCUGUGACGAAGCGUGAGUGACGGUAAUGGGUAAAGAAGCACCGGCUAACUACGUG
rnacentral:rRNA from 1 species